AUUCUAUCCAGAGAGGCGGAGGGACUGGCCCAAUGAAGCCCGACAACCGGCAUUCUCAUUCGAAUGCAUCGGUGUCAAUUCCAGCAGCAUUAGCUGAAAGAUAGAAA
rnacentral:ncRNA from 2 species